GGACCCCUAAGCCGCCCCACUGAGGAAACCUGUCCUCCUGUGUACUGUGAUGUGAGUGAGAAACACGCUUUGUGAUGCUAAACCACCGAGAUGGGCGUUACAGCAGCUAAGGAGACACUCACUUUCCCACCUCCAGUCAAUUUCAAAGAAACAACCUUUGGCUUUGCUGAUAAUCUCUGGGUAGAGCAAGAAGCAGGAACUGGAG